GACGAACGCUGGCGGCGUGCUUAACACAUGCAAGUCGAACGGAAAGGCCCUGCUUUUGUGGGGUGCUCGAGUGGCGAACGGGUGAGUAACACGUGAGUAACCUGCCCUUGACUUUGGGAUAACUUCAGGAAACUGGGGCUAAUACCGGAUAGGAGCUCCUGCUGCCUGGUGGGGGUUGGAAAGUUUCGGCGGUUGGGGAUGGACUCGCGGCUUAUCAGCUUGUUGGUGGGGUUGUGGCUUACCAUGGCUUUGACGGGUAGCCGGCCGGAGAGGGUGACCGGACACAUUAGAACUAAGAUACGGCCCAGAAGCCUACGGGAGGCAGUGGUGGAGAAUAUUACACAACGGGGGGACGCCUGUUGCGGCAACCCCGCGUGCGGGAUAAUGGCCUGCGGGUUGUAAACCGCUUUCGCCUGUGAGGAAGCGUGGUUGACGGUAAUUGGUAAAGAAGCACCGGCUAACUACGUG
rnacentral:rRNA from 1 species